UACGUAGGGGGCUAGCGUUGUCCGGAAUCAUUGGGCGUAAAGAGCGUGUAGGCGGUCCGGUAAGUCCGCUGUGAAAGUCGGGGGCUCAACCCUCGAGUGCCGGUGGAUACUGUCGGGCUAGAGUGCGGAAGAGGCGAGUGGAAUUCCUGGUGUAGCGGUGAAAUGCGCAGAUAUCAGGAGGAACACCAAUUGCGAAGGCAGCUCGCUGGGACGUUACUGACGCUGAGACGCGAAAGCGUGGGGAGCAAACAGG
rnacentral:rRNA from 1 species